GCGGGUGUAGGUUAGUGGUAAACCGUGAGCUUCCCAAGCUCAAAUCGGGGGUUCGAUUCCCCUCACCCGCUCCA
rnacentral:tRNA from 1 species